rnacentral:rRNA from 1 species
AUAGAAGAGAUCUGUGACAUAACAACAUAGUAAGACAGCUAUAUUACACUAUCUCUCUCUUGCACUCUGCAGAACUCAGCACUCACAUCGCACAGCCGAGUAUGCACACGCGUCACACUAUUACCCGUACUCAUACAUCUCUACUUCCUCGUGAUACGUCUCUCAUAGUACGCUACACAUCAUACUCGUAUACACUAGUACUAAUGAUAUAUGAUAAUAGCACUCUAGCUCAUCAGCACACAUGCGACAAGAAUCGCACAUCUCCUCCGCGCUGCAACACACCUCAUCAUUCAGUACAUCGCACAGAACACAUACUAUUCAGCUAUACAUUCACACAUAUAUCUCUACACGUGUAUCUAGCAUAUCAGCAGCAUGAUAACAAAAGACAUAACGCAGAUCACUAAACUCACGAGAAAGAUAAUAAUCAACAAGGACUCAACAAUAUGGAUAACACAGCGAAACAUUAUUCUCCAUACACUUAUUUAAUUCAUUUAAACCAACGACAAUCACAAUAAUACAACUAACUCCCGAGACACCACGUUAACGCAAAUAUGUCAUCUCCGUGGUCCCGCACAGCAGCAGGACCCGGGUGGCUUAGCUAGUAGCACGCGGAAGUACAAUACAAGAUCUUGACAUCCUGAAAAUUAGGUAGAGAUUCAUUAGUGCCUUCGGGAACGCAGAGACAGGUGCCGCCUGGCCGUCGUCUGCUAGUGUUGUGAAAUGUUGGGUAAAGUCCCGUAAUGAGCGCAACCCUUGUCCUUAUUUGCCAGCACGUAAUGGUGGGAACUCUAAGGAGACUGCCGGUGACAAACCGGAGGAAGGUGGGGACGAAGUCAAGUCAUCAUGGCCCUUACGAGUAGGGCUACACACGUGCUACAAUGGCCGGUACAAAGGGUUGCCAACUCGCGAGAGUGAGCUAAUCCCGAAAAGCCGGUCUCAGUCCGGAUCGGAGUCUGCAACUCGACUCCGUGAAGUCGGAUCGCUAUAUCUGAUCAGAUGCCGGAAAUGGG